rnacentral:rRNA from 1 species
UACGAAGGGGGCUAGCGUUGCUCGGAAUUACUGGGCGUAAAGGGCUCGUAGGCGGCCAACUAAGUCAGACGUGAAAUCCCUCAGCUUAACUGGGGAACUGCGUCUGAUACUGGAUGGCUUGGAUUUGGGAGAGGAAUGCGGAAUUCCAGGUGUAGCGGUGAAAUGCGUAGAUAUCUGGAGGAACACCGGUGGCGAAGGCGGCAUUCUGGACCAAUAUUGACGCUGAGGAGCGAAAGCCAGGGGAGCAAACGGG